GACGAACGCUGGCGGCGUGCUUAACACAUGCAAGUCGAACGGAAAGGCCCUGCUUUUGUGGGGUGCUCGAGUGGCGAACGGGUGAGUAACACGUGAGUAACCUGCCCUUGACUUUGGGAUAACUUCAGGAAACUGGGGCUAAUACCGGAUAGGAGCUCCUGCUGCAUGGUGGGGGUUGGAAAGUUUCGGCGGUUGGGGAUGGACUCGCGGCUUAUCAGCUUGUUGGUGGGGUAGUGGCUUACCAAGGGUUUGACGGGUAGCCGGCCUGAGAGGGUGACCGGCCACAAUGGGACUGAGAGACGGCCCAGACUCCUACGGGAGGCAGCAGUGGGGAACAUUGCACAAUGGGCGGAAGCCUGAUGCAGAGACGCCGCGGGCGGGAUGACGGCUUGCGGGUUGUAAAACGCUGUCGCCUGUGACGAAGCGGGAGUGACGGUAAUGGGUAAAGAAGCACCGGCUAACUACGUG
rnacentral:rRNA from 1 species